GGUGAGCGUAGCUCAGUUGGUUAGAGCAUCGGAUUGUGGUUCCGAGGGUCGUGGGUUCGAGUCCCAUCGUUCACCCCCA
rnacentral:tRNA from 4 species